GGCGAGCACUCUAGACGAACUGCCGUUGCAAACGGAGGAAGUGGGGAUGACGUCAAAUCAUCAUGCCCCUUAUGUUCUGGGCUACACACGUGCUACAAUGGCCGGUACAGACGGACGCAAAGCCGCGAGGUGGAGCAAAUCCUAAAAAGCCGGUCUCAGUUCGGAUUGCAGGCUGCAAUUCGCCUGCAUGAAGUCGGAAUCGCUAGUAAUCGCAGGUCAGCAUACUGCGGUGAAUACGUUCCCGGGCCUU
rnacentral:rRNA from 1 species